GGGACAAGCCCUGGAAACGGGGUCUAAUACCGGAUACUGACCCGCCUGGGCAUCCAGGCGGUUCGAAAGCUCCGGCGGUGCAGGAUGAGCCCGCGGCCUAUCAGCUUGUUGGUGAGGUAACGGCUCACCAAGGCGACGACGGGUAGCCGGCCUGAGAGGGCGACCGGCCACACUGGGACUGAGACACGGCCCAGACUCCUACGGGAGGCAGCAGUGGGGAAUAUUGCACAAUGGGCGCAAGCCUGAUGCAGCGACGCCGCGUGAGGGAUGACGGCCUUCGGGUUGUAAACCUCUUUCAGCAGGGAAGAAGCGCAAGUGACGGUACCUGCAGAAGAAGCGCCGGCUAACUACGUGCCAGCAGCCGCGGUAAUACGUAGGGCGCGAGCGUUGUCCGGAAUUAUUGGGCGUAAAGAGCUCGUAGGCGGCUUGUCGCGUCGGUUGUGAAAGCCCGGGGCUUAACCCCGGGUCUGCAGUCGAUACGGGCAGGCUAG
rnacentral:rRNA from 2 species